AUCAAUUCCAAUUUCCAGACCUUUUAGGACAGGUAAAGAACUUGAAUUUCAGCAUAAAUCUUCACUUUGCAUCAGCAGCAAUGAUUUCCUAC